UUCCUCUUGGGGUCACACCUGGGGAGUUUCCAGUACUCUACCAGUCUCGACUACAGGAGGGAGAGUCAAGCAGAGGCAUACCCAUUCCAUUCCUAGUUUGGUCAGUGGCUAGCAAGUGAAAGGCCACCUGCUACAAGG